UUUUGUCUGUUGGUUUGCAUGCAAAACUGACGGGACCCCUGCUUCACUUCCAAUUAACCGAAAUUUCCAAUUAAGCGACUUCGAAUUAUCGGGAGUCGACUGUAUUCAGUUUUAGAGACAUUUCAUUGUAGA
rnacentral:lncRNA from 1 species